rnacentral:rRNA from 1 species
UGCAGAGGGGGCAAGCGUUGUUCGGAAUUACUGGGCGUAAAGGGCGCGUAGGCGGCCCGCUAAGUCGAACGUGAAAUCCCCAGGCUCAACCUGGGAACUGCGUCCGAUACUGGCAGGCUUGAAUCCGGGAGAGGGAUGUGGAAUUCCAGGUGUAGCGGUGAAAUGCGUAGAUAUCUGGAGGAACACCGGUGGCGAAGGCGGCAUCCUGGACCGGUAUUGACGCUGAGGCGCGAAAGCUAGGGGAGCAAACGGG